UGGGGAAUCUUGCGCAAUGGGCGAAAGCCUGACGCAGCAACGCCGCGUGGGGGAUGAAGGCUCUCGGGUUGUAAACCCCUUUCAGCAGGGACGAAUCAAGACGGUACCUGCAGAAGAAGCCCCGGCUAACUACGUGCCAGCAGCCGCGGUAACACGUAGGGGGCAAGCGUUGUCCGGAUUUAUUGGGCGUAAAGAGCUCGUAGGUGGCUGAGUAAGUCGGAUGUUAAAUCCCCAGGCUCAACCUGGGACACCACCCGAUACUGCUCUGGCUAGAGUCCGGUAGGGGAGCAUGGAAUUCCUGGUGUAGCGGUGAAAUGCGCAGAUAUCAGGAGGAACACCAGCGGCGAAGGCGGUGCUCUGGGCCGGAACUGACACUGAGGAGCGAAAGCGUGGGUAGCAAACAGGAUUAGAUACCCCCGUAGUCC
rnacentral:rRNA from 1 species